rnacentral:lncRNA from 1 species
AAUAAAGUGCCUAGUGCAUUGCCGACAUACGCAUUCAGAUGAAAAGCACAUUCCAAGGAAAGAAAACUAUCCAGUGCGCACAUGUAGGUUCAGACGGCAAACAAUGUUUGAGAAUUCAUUCUUGAUGUUGCAAUCCAUUCUGCGAUGUGUAUGUGAGCACCUGAGAUUCAUCGUGUACGUUGACUCUUUGUGGGCAGCGAUAUCAGGGAAACAUGGCGCCACCACCAAAAAAUGUUUCCGAGAUUUAUUAUUUCUUGAAAAUCUUUUGCUUCAAGCACUGCUUCGUAAUGUUGGUGAGUACAGCGUUCACGAGUUGGACAGAAAAGUCAACAACAAGCUAGAACACGUGCUGACUCUCAAUUGAAAUUCAUUUUGAAAACCAAGUAGCAAAAAUAAAGA